rnacentral:piRNA from 1 species
GUCUUUCUAAAGAUGUUGCCAUUGGAAA